rnacentral:rRNA from 1 species
CACGUAGGGGGCGAGCGUUGUCCGGAUUUAUUGGGCGUAAAGGGCGCGUAGGCGGGUAAGUAAGUCAGAUGUGAAAUUCCGGGACUCAAUUCCGGAGCUGCAUUUGAAACUGCUUGUCUUGAGGAUUGGCGGAGAGAACGGAAUUCCACGUGUAGCGGUGAAAUGCGUAGAUAUCAAGAGGAACACCUGAGGUGAAGACGGGUUGCUGGGCCGACACUGACGCUGAGUGCGCGAAAGCCAGGGGAGCAAACGGG